CAGUAGCCGCGGUAAUACGGAGGGUGCAAGCGUUAAUCGGAAUUACUGGGCGUAAAGCGCACGCAGGCGGUCUGACAAGUCAGAUGUGAAAUCCCCGGGCUUAACCUGGGAACUGCAUUUGAAACUGUCAGGCUGGAGUCUUGUAGAGGGGGGUAGAAUUCCAGGUGUAGCGGUGAAAUGCGUAGAGAUCUGGAGGAAUACCGGUGGCGAAGGCGGCCCCCUGGACAAAGACUGACGCUCAGGUGCGAAAGCGUGGGGAGCAAACAGGAUUAGAUACCCCGGUAGUCCCUGUCUCUUAUAA
rnacentral:rRNA from 1 species